UUGAUUGAUAUUGACUGAGACAGUCUGUCUCCAAACCAAUAGGUAUAUUCUUGUCCUUAAUAAUGUAGGAAGCAAACUAAAAUCUAAUCAAGUGGUAAGAGCUAGGGGACAUAAGGGUUGGGGAGGGGAAGGUCCAGGGUUCGAAUCCUGGAAGGGAAAUUUGACGGGGUUUUCUAACUUACUAACAACUAACCACUAACAUUUGCCUAUAAAAAAAACCAUGUCAACAUGUAAUUUUACUUUAUCUUCCAUUUAGAGCCUUAAGACACGGAUGACGGUACCCUUUCCUAAAAAAGUAAUGUACAGUAUACUAAGAAAUGUCUAUCUAUUUGAAACAGCACAAACUGCGCCAUUGUUGCUAUACUCUAUUCUGGUCUUGUCUAUAUGCUGCUUGGGUCUCCGCUUGAUGAACAUCAGAUUUCAUUUUUGGGCCAAGGAUGAAUGAAAGAUUGUUGAAACAUUUUUCCACACAAUAGCUAGAGACUCGAAUCAUCAAACACCAUUAGCAUUUCUUUCAGAUUGUUUUGUCACUUUAUCAAGUUCAAUGGAACUACUAUCCGUUCCUUUGUACCUAUACCACUUUGCACAUAACACAAAGUAGCCUAAAUUCACAACUUCUAAAGCAGCAUGUGCUUGCUAGGAUACCACAACACUUAGUUGGGGUAUGAUACAAUAGGUGACGUGGACCAAUAACAUUUAAGUGUCUUUUUCUCCUUUUUUCCGUAUAUGUUUUAAAAUAUAACAAAUAUUUAAGUAUGUUGUCAGGUGUCGGUCCCCUAUUGGUACACGCCAAAUCGCGUCAGUCAUGUACCAUACAAUGGGGGUAUGGUAGAAUUCGCCAAAGCAGCAAGGAUGCGAUAGAAGUUAUCCAAUCUCCCCUUGUUCAGAUCCUCUGGUAACCAAUUUCUUGAUUUGGAUCUGGCGGUGAUUUGAGUUAUGACGGAGAUAAGCAGACUACUCAAAUAACUUGACCCUGCAUGGCCACAGUAGUAAAGAGAGCCGGCAAUGCUUCUCAUGUUCUGAUCAGGAAACUGUUUUUAGUAAAAUUCAACUUGUGCAACAGACAUAAAUGCUUCAGUUAGUCCAGCCAGUGCCAGCUGAGGAAUAAACCACAGACUUGACAUUGAUGAAAUUGCACCUUUCCUCGUUUCCACCCCUAGUGAUUGAGUUAGAGCCAGAGUCCUGCGGCACUCUUCAACCAUGGCAGAUACUAACAUGCUGAGAAUAGAGAAAAAUAUGCCAAUGCCCAUUCUCUGAAGGAGUGUGAUUCCACCCUCUUUUCGGUUGAGCCUUUGGAGAAAAGGAACAACCUUUCGGUCAUAGAUGGGUAACCAAAUUGCUACGCUAAUCAUCAGGAAGACAUAGUAGGAUGGUCCUGGGAUCAUGAACUCGCUUUGCCCUUUACGCCUGUUUCAGAGAAGGGCUUAGAACACUAAAAUAGUAUGCUGUUGAACAAUAACAACAAAGUACAAAACGCCUGAAACCCAUAUGGGUAACACUCUCAACAAGCAUUUCACCUCUUCCACUUGCUGCAUACUACAAAGGUUCCAGGGAUCAGUAGCAGAUCCAUUAGGAUUUAAUUGAUCUUGCGGGGUCAGGAUUGCUGCUUUGUCAAGGAACCUGUUAAUAAGCCAUAUGGUAAAGUUUUCUUAAAAACCAAUCAUAUCUACCACCAAAUGCUAACUGCUUCAUGUUGUUUACCUGAAUUGAUAUGUAUAGGGAAGUUUAGAAUUCAUUGACUUGGGAGCCACGUAACUGAAAAGGGAAGGAUAUAGGACUCGAACCCAACCCGAAAUUUCGGGGGAACCUCGAUUUUUUGGGUUUGAGUUGGGGUUUGGGUUUCACCCGAAUUUUAAAACCUUUUUGGGUUCGGGUGUGAGAUUGAUUAAAUCUGCACCCAAACCCAAACCCGAAGCCAAACCCAAAUCCAAACCCGAAGCCUUAUGCAUGUAAUUAUCAGCCCUUACAUAUGUUAUUAAAGUUACAAAGUAGGGUUUUCUUUAACAUAGAAAUUCCAUGAAUUAUCAAGAGAACACUCUAGAUGGAAGCCCCUCCCUCAUCACCUAGUCACCUCAAAAAAAUCAAGUCAGCAAAGUGCAUCUGGUUUGUAACACUGCGUACAUAUACCAAUAUUUUGCUUACAAGCUCAAGGAUGGUGUGUCAAAGAAACUUGAUCACACAUUUCAAGCUCCAAAAUCCAAGUUGGUUGGUUAAAGAGCAAGGUAGACAAAAUAGGGAUAUGCUUUUGUCAUUCAAGCAAUAAUUUCUCUUUCUUUUCUUCAUGGCCUUCUUAAGGAUCUUGAAUCUGGUUACUAACAGCCAGAUUUUUAAGUAAGCCAAAUAUUCUUUCGAUGGAAGAACUCAUUGAUGGCUUGUUGCAAGUUCCUCCAUUGGAAGAGUCGUCUGAUAUUGGAUCUAGAAUGGGUUCAAAACCUUUUGCUUUUCCCUGCAAUUUCAAUACCCAAGGAGGUUGAGGUAGUGGAUGUAGUGGAGUCAAAGGUGGAUGAGGCAGGCCCCUCAAUGCUCAUAUUGUAAAUGACUAGGAUAUACUCAAGAUUAUUGUCAUUCCCUUCAUGAUUUUCCAUAAAGCCUGCAAAUAUAGCGCAAACUCCAACAUCAGGCACAUUAAAAAUGAAAUCAUUGGAAGUAACCACUCCAUAACACUAUUAGAUGAUGAUGAUGAAUAUAAGGAAUAUCUCAAGCUCAAUGCUAGUGGCUAAAUGUCACUUCAUUGUUAAGAAGAGUAAAUUUAGAAUAUGCAGUUUAGUAUCUUUUCAAAACACUGGUUCUUUUCCAUAGUGAAUCUCUUUCUUUGCUUGAACUUAUUUAUUACAGUACCAUGUGGUAUUUCUGUAACUUGCACUAUACUAGUUAUAGGUAGAGAUGGCAGGAAAACCCAAACCCGCGGGGCCCGACUCGAACCCAACCCGAAAUUUCGGGGGGACCUCGAUUUUAAACCUUUUUGGGUUCGGGUGUGAGAUUGAUUAAAUCUGCACCCAAACCCAAACCCGAAGCCAAACCCAAAUCCAAACCCGAAGCCUUAUGCAUGUAAUUAUCAGCCCUUACAUAUGUUAUUAAAGUUACAAAGUAGGGUUUUCUUUAACAUAGAAAUUCCAUGAAUUAUCAAGAGAACACUCUAGAUGGAAGCCCCUCCCUCAUCACCUAGUCACCUCAAAAAAAUCAAGUCAACAAAGUGCAUCUCGUUUCAUUUCUAAACAAGCCAAGCACCAUGGUUAAGCUUCUGGAGUGUUCAUAUAUGCUAUGAUUUUCUCUCUCAGACUCGCUAACUCUCUAUUUCAACCAACAUAGUGUCUUCUGCCAUCAACAAAAGCUCUCCUUCUACUCAGAAACCACCCCAAGUCCCAACAUAGUGUCGUUACAAUUCCUGUUGUUCGAAGCCAUCCCUGACCCCUCACUAUCUUCUCCAUCUAUGGAAGCUUCAAGCUCUCACCAAGUAAGCACGCAAGUUAGAAGAAGCAAUCUCCAAAACGACGAUCACCAAAACGACGAUCGAAGUUGUCACCCUCCUUCUCUUUUCAUGUUUUUUUUUUCUAAACCCAACACAUGCACAACCCGCAGAUGCCACCCGGUUAGGGUUGGCAACGGACCCCGUGGGUGCGGGAAUUCCCAAACCCACUGCCCAGCUUACAUUUGACUGUAUGUAGACAAUAAUUGUUAAUGAUAACAUCUGAGCAAGGGUGAAAGUGAAAAAGUACCAAGUGAAGAAACUAUUGAUUCCCCUUUUCUCAGAAUCUGUGUUAGGAUUAAACUGAUCAGCUCCAAAUGCUAAGUUACAUGGUCGGAUCCCCGCAGCUCCUAUCAUCAAUAAGACAAUAAUCCCUCUUGCAGGGAGCGAGUGAAGUGCGUGUCCCUUUUUUGCCUUGUACAUUACUCAUUACUCAAGAGUUAGUCCUCUUGUUUAGUUAAUGCUAAUGACUUAGUUCACUAGGUUGAUAGGAAUUUUAAGAUAACUGGUUGUUUGUUUAACAUGGAAUGGAAUUCGAGCAUCUACCACCAAAUGAAUUAGACUUUGAUAUCUUCUUCCCCAAUUAUUCUAAUAAAAAAAAUUAAGCACAUCUACGAACAAAUGAGUUAGAGUUCGAUCUCUUAUAUUCCCAAUUAUUCUAAUAAAAAUAAUUAAAAGCAUAUGGUAGGUAAGCAUGUGCAUUCUCGAGUUUUAGCAAUAGUUAUAAUAUCAACACAUUUUUUAACAAGUAAGAAAUAUAUUAAGUAAUUUUCAAAAAAAAAGAAAAGAAAUAUAUUGAGUUUAAAAAUAAAUCAAUUAUAAUAAGUCAGUUGGGGUGUUUCAUUACAAAAAUUGUAUUGCUAGCAUUUUUUCCAUUUGAUAUUUGCAUAGCCUAUUAAGAAUUUAAGAUUAUCAAUCUUUUUUGACAAGUUACUAUAUUUACAAGUUACAACCUUGAUGAAAGCAUGAAAAAAGAAGAAACAAAAAUGUGGCAUAUGUGAUAUAUAAUAAUACUCCCUUAAUUUUGUAAAUUGUUAAUCACAUAUUAAGAAAUGUAAGUAAUAUUAGAACUUUUAGAAAAAUAAUUAUUUUAUUUUAUAUUUUAAAAUAUAUUUUUAUAUUUCUUUAUUUUUUCUUUGCAUAGGAACAUUUUAAAUUGCUCUUGAAAUUUUAAGUAGAUGGAUAUAUAGAAAUAAAUUUUAAGUAGAGGAAAAAAAAUGCAUGUGAAAUUGUCAAUAUGUGUUCCAAAAUCAGGAUUGAUUCAAUGAAUUGAUAUUUUUGUUUGGUUAAAGUGAAACUUUGAACAAUAUUUUUAGUUUAAACCAUAUAUAUUUUCAUCCGAAAACAGCCUAAUGUCAAUUGAUCAUGAGUUUUGGUGGUCAAGCUCUGAAUACUAAAAUCAAAAUAUUUUCAAUGGAAUUAUUUUUAAUCACAAAUUCACAAUCAUAAAAAUUCCAAAAUUUAUAUUGAAUUUCUAUUUUUUUCUUAUAAAAUAUAAUUCUCUGAACAUAUUAUGUCUAUUUGUCUAUAUAGUAGAUGCCUUUCAGAGUUCAGACAUCAUCAACUUUCAACAUAAAAUCAUUAAACACCAAUAAACCUUCUAAUUCAGAUUGUGUUGAUACUUGAUCAGGCCAAAGGCCACUGCUUCUAACUAGCACUUCCAACCCCUUUGUACUUAUACCACUUAGCACACAAAAUAAAGUAACCAAAAUUAACUACUUGUAAACCAGUAAUUAUGUAAUAAAAGUAAUCCAAUCUCCCCUUGUUGAGAUCCUGAGGCAACCAAUUCCCUGAUGCAGAUUUUUCAGUCACCCUAUGGAUAAUGGAAAUCAGCAAACUACUCAAAUAACUUGACCCUGCCAAGCCACAGAAGAAAAGAGACCCUGCAAGGCUUCUCAUGUUUUCAGGAAACUGUUUGUAGAAAAACUCAACUUGCCCCACCAAUGUAAAUGCAUCAGAUAGUCCUGCUAAUGCUAGUUGAGGAACCAACCACAACCCUGACAUUGAAGAAAUGGCACCUUUUCUUGGUUCCCAUCCUACUACAGGCUUAGUCAGAGCCAUGGUCCUUCUUUGAUUUUCCACCACACUAGAAACUAGCAUGCAGAGCACAGAUAGGAACAUGCCAAUUCCCAUCCUUUGAAGAAGUGUGAUCCGGAGCGAGGGCACGAUGAUUCGAUCAUAUAUAGGGAGCCAUAUGCUCAGGCUCAGCAUGGUGAAGAUGGUGUAGGAAGCUGCUGGGAUCUUGAAAUUGGUGUUGAAGACUCGCCUGUCGGAUUGAAGGGCUUGGAAGACUAGCAUGGUGCUCUGCUGGAUAAUGGCAAUAUAGUAGAGCAUGCCUGAAAUCCAAAUAGGGAUCACUCUCAGCAAGCAUUUCAUCUCUUCCACUUGCUGCAUGCUGCAAAGUUUCCAUGGAUCAGAUGCAGAGCCAUCAGGGUUUAUCUGAUCUUUUGAGGUUAUAAUUGCAGC
rnacentral:lncRNA from 1 species